GUUACAUAGAUGGAAUCAAUGGAAUAUUUUCAAACGCAAUUCUGCUUCAAUCCACCAUUCUUCUCAUCGUCCAGUGCACCUUAGCAUUUCAUGUUUCAUCCGCAGAUCAGCAAAAUAUAGAUAUUAAACUUACUCUCCUCCAAAGCAUCUUGAUUUUGAACCUGGCAUUUGUAGCCCUUUCGGCACUCUCCUCUGAAAUUUCUUCAAAGGGCAAAAAACUUCAGGUGGCCUGCGGUGGAAUGGCAUGGUGGACGUGGAACGAGGAAAACCAGUUCUUUGUAAAAAUUAUGACGGUUCGAUGCGGUGCACCUUCUCACUUGAAGGUCGGGCCUUUCUAUUUCCUAUCUCUGCCGUUUUUUGCCUCGCUGCUGCAGAUAUCUGUCUCCUACUUCAUGUUCCUCGUCGGCAUCAACAAUUCCUCCUCGCUCGGCGGCACAAAGGGCUGAAAUUUGUGAGCAAUUAAGCUGCGGCUUUUGGCCAGCGAGGGCUGAAUUUGUUUUGUGUUGUGCACAUAUGAACAUACUACAGUGUGAGCGGGUUUGUGUGUGUGUGGCGGCGCAGUGCAUGCGCCAAGCUGCCUCGAGUGAUAUUUCACCGAGAGGCGAAAUCCAUUCAUCACUGUUUCUUCAGAUGCCGCUUGAUUGAUGGCAAGGUUGUUCGCCGAGUGACACGCAUUCUGCUUUCGCAUGCAAGAGAGCUGCUCGGAUCACCCGCACCAUUUCGCGUUUUAUCAUGGCUCGCACGACGUGCUUUCAAGUGAAAAUAUGACCUCGUGCCGCUGCCGACAAUUUAUCGUGGACACCAAACAACCGACCAGACACAUUGUACAGAACACCUAGUGAGAACGACGAUUAUUUCUUAUGUAAAGAACAAAC